GACGAACGCUGGCGGCGUGCUUAACACAUGCAAGUCGAACGGAAAGGCCCUGCUUGCAGGGUACUCGAGUGGCGAACGGGUGAGUAACACGUGGGUGAUCUGCCCUGCACUUCGGGAUAAGCCUGGGAAACUGGGUCUAAUACCGGAUAGGAGCCAUUUUUAGUGUGAUGGUUGGAAAGUUUUUUCGGUGUAGGAUGAGCUCGCGGCCUAUCAGCUUGUUGGUGGGGUAAUGGCCUACCAAGGCGGCGACGGGUAGCCGGCCUGAGAGGGUGGACGGCCACAUUGGGACUGAGAUACGGCCCAGACUCCUACGGGAGGCAGCAGUGGGGAAUAUUGCACAAUGGGCGCAAGCCUGAUGCAGCGACGCCGCGUGGGGGAUGACGGCCUUCGGGUUGUAAACUCCUUUCGCUAGGGACGAAGCUUUUGUGACGGUACCUAGAUAUGAAGCACCGGCUAACUACGUG
rnacentral:rRNA from 1 species